rnacentral:sRNA from 1 species
UUAUUUUUUAAAUAAUUCUCAAUUUUCGAAGAAGUAACGUCGUUGAACGGACGGAAUACGACGGUUUGCAGGGUGUUGUUGUGCAGCUGCAUGCAGAGAAGUUUGUGUUUUUGGAAGUGUUCGUGCGUGUGUGUGAGCUAAACUAAGAAAAAUUAAAUCUUUAACUAUUGAAUUGUUUUGCUGGCUGCUGCUGCUGCCGCCUACCUAUAUCUUGUGUGUGUAUCGGAAAGCGAAAGAAAGAAAGAAAAAGUAACCAUGGAUUAAAUUGGUAUGUAUAAAUGAUAAAAAAAAUAUGUUGGGGAUUUCUUCUUAAUGUCGUCGAAUAAUUGUGGAAUAUGGCUGGAUUGAAUUAUGAAAAGCCGAAGAAUGAGUGUAUGUGCAAAGAAUAUAUAAAAAAAUGAAGAAAAGAGACUGAAAGAAAGAAGAAACAAUAACAAAAUAAUAUAUACAAUAGUGGACACUUGACAAUUGUAGAGAAGAAAUGAAAGAAGUACUUUGUGUUAAUAACUGUGUUUGUGAAAGAAGAAAUAAAAAAAACAACAAAACAACAUCAAUUGAAAUUGUGUGACCAGCAACCAGGGAUGGAAAAUCGAUAUUAUUAUUGAAGAAAAGUACUAAAGAAGGGAGUUUUAACAUAAAAGUAAGAAAAACUUAAUAAAAUCUAACCGAUUUCUUUUAAAAUUUUUAUUAGUUGUGGAUGUUUUUACGCCUUAUAACAUAUUUUAUUGGAAACGCUCCAGGUUAUCCGCUUAUUCGAUCCGAAUAUUCGGUUAUAAGAACCGGUGUAACAACUUUAAUUUUUUUAAAACUCUUAAUUUUUGUGGCUUUAGGCCUAUUCUUGAAUUGACCU